rnacentral:rRNA from 2 species
CUGUAAGCCUGCGAAGGUGGCCUGUGAGGGUUGCUGGAGGUAUCAGAAGUGCGAAUGCUGACAUAAGUAACGAUAAAGCGGGUGAAAAGCCCGCUCGCCGGAAGACCAAGGGUUCCUGUCCAACGUUAAUCGGGGCAGGGUGAGUCGACCCCUAAGGCGAGGCCGAAAGGCGUAGUCGAUGGGAAACGGGUUAAUAUUCCCGUACUUGGUGUUACUGCGAAGGGGGGACGGAGAAGGCUAUGUUGGCCGGGCGACGGUUGUCCCGGUUUAAGCGUGUAGGUGUGUGUUCCAGGUAAAUCCGGUUCACUUUAACACUGAGGCGUGAUGACGAGGCACUACGGUGCUGAAGCAACAAAUGCCCUGCUUCCAGGAAAAGCCUCUAAGCAUCAGGUAACAUCAAAUCGUACCCCAAACCGACACAGGUGGUCAGGUAGAGAAUACCAAGGCGCUUGAGAGAACUCGGGUGAAGGAACUAGGCAAAAUGGUGCCGUAACU